rnacentral:rRNA from 1 species
GACGAACGCUGGCGGCGUGCCUAAUACAUGCAAGUCGAACGCAGUGGGGACGGGUGAGUAACACGUGGGUAACCUCCCAUCAGAGGGGAUAACACUUGGAAACAGGUGCUAAACCGAUACUGAUGGAUGGACCCGCGGUGCAUUAGCUAGUUGGUGAGGUAACGGCUCACCAAGGCCACGAUGCAUAGCGGGGCUGAGAGGGUGAGCGGCCACAAUGGGACUGAGACACGGCCCAGACUCCUACGGGAGGCAGCAGUAGGGAAUCUUCGGCAAUGGACGAAAGCCUGAUGCAGCCAUGCCGCGUGUAUGAAGAAGGCCUUCGGGUUGUAAAGGACUUUCAGCGGGGAGGCGUUACCCGCAGAAGAAGCACCGGCUAACUCCGUGCCAGCAGCCGCGGUAAUUC